AACGGCCGUACCAUGCUGAAUAUACCGGUUCUCGUUAGAUCACCGAAGUCAAGCAUCAUUGGGCGCGGUCAGUACUUGGGUGGGUGACCACCUGGGAACACUGCGUGCC